AAGCGUAACCUAAACCCCCCCCAAAAUACCAUUAAUUUUCAUGAACCCCUAAUUUAUAAUGAAUGACUCCAUAUUUAUAUGGAAGACACCAUGCUAGGAUUAGUAACAAGAAUUUAUAAUUCUCCAAAAUGCAAAUAUAAACCAACAUGGAUAGACCAUUGGUAGUUACCGAACCUAAAUUUACUGCAAUAACACCCACAAGAAAACUCUGCAGUACUUACUCGUUAACCUAACACCAGCGCAUUACAGGAAAGAUUAAAAAAAAGAGAAGGAAUUCGGCAAAUGACGGCCCCGCCUGUUUACCAAAAACAUCGCCUCUUGACUUAUAAUAAGAGGUCCAGCCUGCCCAGUGAAUUUUAAACGGCCGCGGUAUCCUAACCGCGCGAAGGUAGCAUAAUCACUUGUUCUUUAAAUGGGGACUCGUAUCAACGGCAUCACGAGGGUUUUACUGUCUCCUCUUUUUGAUCAGUGAAAUUGAUCUUCCCGUGAAGAAGCGGGGAUAUUUUUAUAAGACGAGAAGACCCCAUGGAGCUUUAAACCAAAUAACAACUUAACUACUUAUCCCACAAUAAAUUUAAGCCCUGUUAUAAGGUUUUUGGUUGGGGUGACCGCGGAGUAAAGCACAUCCUCCACGACGGAAAGAACAUAAUCUUUAUUUAAGAACCACACUUCUAGAAAUUAGUAUACUAACGUUUACUGACCCGACAAUCGAUCAACGGACCAAGUUACCCUGGGGAUAACAGCGCAAUCUACUUCAAGAGCUCAUAUCGACAAGUAGGCUUACGACCUCGAUGUUGGAUCAGGGUAUCCCGGUGGUGCAGCCGCUACCGAAGGUCGUUUGUUCAACGAUUAAAACCCUACGUGA
rnacentral:rRNA from 1 species